GAUGAACGCUGGCGGCGUGCCUAAUACAUGCAAGUCGAGCGAACAGAUAAGGAGCUUGCUCCUUUGACGUUAGCGGCGGACGGGUGAGUAACACGUGGGUAACCUACCUAUAAGACUGGGAUAACUUCGGGAAACCGGAGCUAAUACCGGAUAACAUUUGGAACCGCAUGGUUCUAAAGUGAAAGAUGGUUUUGCUAUCACUUAUAGAUGGACCCGCGCCGUAUUAGCUAGUUGGUAGGGUAACGGCUUACCAAGGCAACGAUACGUAGCCGACCUGAGAGGGUGAGCGGCCACACUGGAACUGAGACACGGUCCAGACUCCUACGGGAGGCAGCAGUAGGGAAUCUUCCGCAAUGGGCGAAAGCCUGACGGAGCAACGCCGCGUGAGUGAUGAAGGGUUUCGGCUCGUAAAACUCUGUUAUUAGGGAAGAACAAAUGUGUAAGUAACUGUGCACGUCUUGACGGUACCUAAUCAGAAAGCCACGGCUAACUACGUG
rnacentral:rRNA from 1 species